GGGCCCAUAGCUCAGCUGGGAGAGCGCUUGACUGGCAGUCAAGAGGUCGUCGGUUCGAUCCCGAUUGGGUCCACCA
rnacentral:tRNA from 1 species